CUCUCCUACGAGAUUACGAUAAAGGAUCUUCAUAAUGACCUAAACUCGUUGAAGGAGGCAAAGGAGAAGCUUGAAAAUGAUGUAGGGUUCCACGUAGAAGAAAAGGAAGCUCUUCGGAAAGACCUUAGUUGGCACAAAGAAGAAAUCAACAGAUUAAAUGAACACAAUCUCUCCUCCGAGCUUGUGAUAAAGGAUCUUCAUAAUGAUCUAAACUCGUUGAAGGAGGCGAAGGAGAAGCUUGAAAAUGAUGUAGGGUUCCAUGUUGAAGAAAAAGAAACUCUUCACAAUGACCUUAGUCGGCACAAAGAAGAAAUCGACAGAUUAAAUGAACAGAACCUCUCCUCCGAGCUUAUGAUAAAGGGUCUUCAUAAUGACGUAAACUCGUUGAAGGAGGCAAAGGAAAAGCUUGAAAAUGAUGUACGGUUUCAUGUAGAAGAAAAGGAACCUCUUUGGAAAGACCUUAGUUGGCACAAAGAAGAAAUCAACAGAUUAAAUAAACACAAUCUCUCCUCCGAGCUUAUGAUAAAGGAUCUUCAUAAUGACCUAAACUCGUUGAUGGAGGCAAAGGAGAAACUUGAAAAUGAUGUAGGGUUCCAUGUUGAAGAAAAAGAAACUCUUCAGAAAGAC
rnacentral:lncRNA from 1 species